rnacentral:lncRNA from 1 species
CUAUCGCUCCAGCAAGCCUUGCUCCAUCUUGGAGCUGCAGCAAGGAGAGAGGCCAUCCUGCUCCCGCACAGCCAGCCUGGCUUUUAUGAGGCCUUUCUCCGGAAAUAAGAAGUAUGGUAAAGCGAGGUGAUCUUCCCCCAUGACUGCUGGUGUGGAUUAUGGAGCUGGCAGCAGCAGGAACGCAUUAAGGAAAGCUCCCAGCAACGGCUUUCCAGAAAGGUCUUCAGAAGCCUCCCCCUGCUGUCUUCAUGCCGGCUGCAUCAUUUUUCAAGGCCUUGUCUCAGUCCUGGCAUGACGUGGAUACAGGAGGCUUUGUGCAGACCUUGUGCCUGUCCGAGAGGUGCUUCUGCUGCAGCCACAGGUCCGUUGGGUUGGAGCCCAUCACUACAGGCAUGGAGCUGAAUGAUGCUGAUGACAGUUCCAAACAUCUGGGAGUCUCUCAAGACCCAAAUAGGGACCUCAUGACCCUUCACAUCCUAUUUGUGGACAAGGCACACAGGAAGUUUUCUACAGCUGGCAGAUUAACUUUGGAGCAUCAGUGACCACUGCUUUUGCCAAUGAAUCAGUCACCCUAAGGCUAGAGUAAGAAAGCAGGUUAAGGGUUCAGUAACUCACGUAGGAGCAAGUCAUUGAAACAAAAUCUGCUGAACUGAGUUGCAUUCCACUGAACAGGGGAUGUCUACUUAUAGACUGUUGCAGCCAGUGGAGCAAACCAAGCACCUUAGGAGACAAUUCAUCUGAAUUAAUUUCAGUGGUUAAUAAGGAUAAGUUUUAACACAUCCUAGAAGCAGAUGGACACCUCUCUCGUGUCUGUAGACAAGUUUCUCUUCUGUCCCAUGAGUGUACCCAGCUCAUGAUUGGAGGACGAGAGUCCCCUAGUCAUGCCAG